rnacentral:rRNA from 1 species
UACGUAGGGUGCAAGCGUUGUCCGGAAUUAUUGGGCGUAAAGAGCUCGUAGGCGGUCUGUCGCGUCGGCUGUGAAAACUCGGGGCUCAACUCCGAGCUUGCAGUCGAUACGGGCAGGCUAGAGUUCGGCAGGGGAGACUGGAAUUCCUGGUGUAGCGGUGAAAUGCGCAGAUAUCAGGAGGAACACCGGUGGCGAAGGCGGGUCUCUGGGCAGUACUGACGCUGAGGAGCGAAAGCGUGGGGAGCGAACAGG